rnacentral:rRNA from 1 species
CGAACUGGUGAGUACAAGACGGGUGACGUGCCCGGACUGGGGGAUAACUUCGAGAAAUCGGGGCUAAUACCGCAUGUUCUCCGUCACUUAGACGCGACGGAACAAAGGCGCACUUCGGUGCGUCGCGUCCGGAUCGGCCUGUCUCCCAUUAGCUAGUUGGUGGGGUAAUGGCCUACCAAGGCGACGAUGGGUAGCUGGCCCGAGAGGGUGGUCAGCCACACUGGGACUGAGAUACGGCCCAG